rnacentral:misc_RNA from 1 species
CGCACCUUGCGCUCCUUGGUAUUCCGAGGAGCAUGCCUGUUUGAGUGUCGUGAAAUCAUCAACUCCCUUGCUUUAUUGAAAGGUGAGAUUGGAUUUGGGGAUUGCUGCUCGUGUAUCGGCUUCCCUUGAAUGCAUUAGCUGGAAGUUCAUUUGCAGCAUAUAUGCGGUGUGAUAAUGUCGUCACUGUGUAGCUCAUUAUGAAUUUAGCUUCUAAUCGUCCUUCACUGGACAAUCUGAUCAUUUUGGCCUCAAAUCAGGUAGGACUACCCGCUGAACUUAA